CAAACACUUCCGGUUUUAGCUCCGGUUACAUUGUAAUGUAACGCCUUUAGCUCACAUUAACUAAAAUUAUAUUCCUGCAUAUUAAGCACGGGGUUAGGAUUAGCUCCAGUAAAGCAUUGUUUAAAAACAAACACUUUCAACCUAGCUGACGUUUUUAAGUUGCCCAAUGACACUCAACGCCCAACAGAAACCGGGGUUAAAUAUCAACGGACAUUAGCUUGCUUAAGCUAACGUUGCCUGACGCCCCAAACGGCUGAGCUGCCGUGAGUCAUUAGUCCGUCUGGCAGCGCAUUGUUCGAGGUGACACGGAGGUGACAUUAUAAAAAGCCAGCCGUACAUUAGUCAGACACUACUCACCUCUUCGCGAGUCGGUGCGGAAAGUCCCAACAUCGACCGAGCGUUUUUAGCGAAGACGUCACACCGCCUCUUUCUACUUCCGGUUGUCUGUGGAAUGAAAUAAAGAUUACGAACUGGAACUUAAUAAGGAUACAUAACAUAUAUACGUAUAUGGACGCAUGGCGCGGGCCGUAAUGCUUCUAAUGCUACAACGUCUACAGCAAACUCUUCUAUAAGGCUAUUAAAGCUAAACUAGUAGUACAAAGAAUAGACGGCAUACUUACAUGGAAGCUUGGAUGAAGACCAGUCGAACGGGCUCGAGUCACGUAAGGCAUCAUUCGGUCUGUGGUUGGAAUCUGAAAUCCUCAUUGUAGUUCCCCUGAAAUGACCACGCCCCCUUUAACUGACGUGUCAAUCCUACGAUCUGCUUUAGAUAAUGGUAAUACAGCCCCAGAUGGCAAUUACAGUUGGAACAAAACAUACCAAGACCACAGCAUCCCAAAUAAGAAGGCUGCGUUUGUGGACAGGCACAAUCGGGUCCUUGACUUAUCCUGUAACUUUCCCAAUAAAAUCAAAUUUUCAAACAGUAUUUUCUUCAUUCCCACUUACAAAACAGCCCUUCACGAGUGUAAAACUUGAUCCGCAG
ensembl:lncRNA